UUCCCCUACCUGAGAGAACAUCCCAGUCAAACACUGAACUCCCUAACUGCUGUAAAGGACUUUGUAUAAAGCAACAGUGGGAACCUCCGCUGGGAAUGGCAGGGAAACACACACAUUCAGAAACAUGGAAAUUCUCACUCUGCACAAGAUGUUCCGGGUAUUUGAUUUCCAGUGCCUUCAGAGGACUACCUGAAUAUUUAACUGGCAUCAAAUCAGCUCUCAACUGAGAGUUUGCUUGUGCCUGUGCAUUCUGAGAGGUACAGAAUCUCACCACCCAUUCUGUGUUAUGGAGGCAGCUCUGAGGCACAAAAGGCGUGAGACUGCUGGGAAUUAAUUUCCAAAGUCAGAUAAACUGGGAUUGAAGUGAGAAGAGGCCUGACCAGACAUGUUUUCACUGACUCCAUCAUUAGGGCCUGACACUCCACUGGAAGAGGACCAGCCAUUUUAUCAAAUGCAAAACACAGUAAUUCCCUUUUAAUGCCCUAUUUGUUGGGAGCUGGAGGCUGAGUUGAGAAAAGGAGCCUUGUGUCUCCUGAGUGCCUCUAACUGUGCUCAGCCCCGGCAGCCAGAGGGACCAGGAUCGAUACCGCAGCGGAGCCUCAUCCCGGAGACCUUCACAGCUCACAAGGACAGGACACUUUCUGCAGCAGUAAUUGGUGGCACAGUGGGAUUUUAACCCUGGCAUCCAGAAAUGCUGCUCCAGGAAGUUGGGGAUGACUCACAGGUUUCCCUGCUGGAAACUCUCCGAGUGUGCUGUGGCUGAUUUACUCCAUAACCACUGCUUCAUGCCCUAAGAGCCACUGGGGCAACUGGUUUGAGCGUAAAUGGUUCACUGGUUUCCUACUGCAUCCACCUUCGUGCUCUUUCCAACCAUUUCAUUUCUGGGAGUAGUUUUGCAGUAAUUCUGGGUCUGUUUCUCAAUAAAGCUUCU